rnacentral:tRNA from 1 species
CGGGAUGUAGCACAGCUUGGUAGUGCACUUCCUUAGGGAGGAAGGGGUCGCAGGUUCAAAUCCUGUCAUUCCGACCA